UGACGUAUGGUCGGUGGAUGAAUGCCUGAAUGCAAUUUUUGGCGUUUGCACAGCAUUGCCAUCGCAGGAGUCAGGAAUCAGCAAAUGUUUCCGGUGGGAACAAUCGGUAGUACUUCUCAAGGAUUGGCCAAGUUUGGAUCGAUUGAGCAAAACAAGGUGAUAAAAGUCGGUGCCUCCUGUCUACAGAUACAUGGGACCCGUAAUCUCCUCUAGCUUGAUUCCUCAAAAGCAUCCCCCGGCCAUGAGUGA